rnacentral:tRNA from 2 species
GUGCCCGUAGCUCAACUGGAUAGAGCAACGGCCUUCUAAGCCGUAGGUUACAGGUUCGAGUCCUGUCGGGUGCGCCA